CUUUGCAUCUCUGCAACCCGCUCCUGGUUCACCUCCUCCGCCAGCGUCUUCGCGAGCUGCACCAGAACACUCUCCUUCACCAUUAUCUCCUAGGUAGCCGUCAACUCUUGCUUCACCGCCGUCUCCUAGUUCACCUCCUCCACCACCGCCAAAGAAGCAGAAAUAGGUCUCGAGGUCGCAAGCAUCGUUUAAGGAGCCUCCAAAGAAAGAGCAGAAGCCGAAGAAGAAAAGCAAGGAGGCUCCUAAGUUACCCUAGGACUACACUUCUGAAGAAUGCAAGGAGCAUACCCAGGCCGCCGUUACAGAGCACUUCAAAAAGAAGGAGCCAGAGAAGAAGGAUAAACCAGUAGAUCCUUCAAAAUUGAAAUUUUUUAUUGGAAUGUGCGAAUUAAAUAAGAAAAAGUUCAUUCCUAAACCACUUUCGGACUAUGAACGCUCGAUUACGAAAUCAUAUGAGAAGAGGAAAUCGGGGUCAUCAUCAUCCGAUGUUCCACAGCUCGGAGUCCAAAAGAAACAAUCAAUAGAACCGCUAGUUGUGCUAAACGAGGAACAACAAGAGUUUGUGGCUUUCUUGCAAUCAUCAAAGCUCACUACUAAUCAUAUUACAGGGUCAAAAUAUCAAGAUCCGCAGACAACAGAUUAUCCGAUAGCUCCAUUGGUUCGAUGGCCAUAUAAGGAGGGCACCAGCCUUGUCCCCCUAGAGAUCGUGCAUGUGCUUCCAACGCAAAUGUGAAGGCUGCAUGACUGCUAUAUGAAAGCAAUGGCAGAUCUGAACUUCAUGCAGGGUGCAAAGUUUACGGAUGACGAUUUCCUUCGUUGAGAGGGCGUGAUAUGGAUUAAUUGAGAAGAAGUGUACCAACUAUACUAUCAGGACGCCCUCGACAUCUCUAUCGUUAGUUUGUGGCUUCUAAUGGAGAUUCAAACUUACAGAAAAAAGGGUACUACCACAUCGGCUUCAUCGACCCAUCGGUUGUGAAUUGCAAGAAUCUCCAUGACAAGCCUACAGAAAUAUUCAAGAACAUAUACAAGUACUUAUCCGUUUAGCACUACAAGUCUUACAUACUGUUUCCAUACAACUUUCAGUCAGUCUUUUCUGCCCUGUAACUCUUUUAGUUCUAUAUAACUGAAUUUUAUUAACCCUAAUAAGAAGUGGCUCCGAUUCAUAUAAUCUUGCAGAAACCACUGGGUACUAGUUUUCAUAUUUUAUUACCAGAGCUUAGCGGUUGUCAUGGACUCAUUGCGGAAAGAUUCAGACCUAUACAAAGACAUGACCGACAUGUUAAAAAAGGUUUGGAAGAGAUUCAUUCGAAAGCAUAGUGAUAAUUUCAGCGCUGAACUUAAAUUGAAGACAAACUUUCCGUGUCGAAGGCAAGCACACGAAAAUAAUUUAUGCGUAUACUAUAUUAUAGAAAACAUCCAUAGUCUAGUAGGUCACCAGAAGGCGUAUAGCAUAUGGCAAGAGGAACUCUAUGCAAUGCGAGAGACACUUAUACCAGAGGAAAGGGUUUUGGCGAUUCAAGAAGCCAUGUGCGGAUUUAUUGUUCAGGAAGUCCUCGACAAAACAGGAGAAUUCUACUAUGAUGGAAUGUCAAACAUAGAUAAUAGAAGUAAAUAUGAUAAUAUUGAGUAAAAUUUUUAUUGCACUUUGCAUGUAAUUAAGUAUAU